UUGACCUCAAAUCAGGUAGGACGGCACCCCC
rnacentral:rRNA from 1 species